rnacentral:tRNA from 1 species
GGAGAGGUGUCCGAGUGGUUUAUGGUGCUGGUCUUGAAAACCAGUGUGGUUCACGCCACCGUGGGUUCGAAUCCCACCUUCUCCG